UAUAAUAUUUGACUCUUCGUUUUAUUAAAAAUUACGAUUAAUAUUUUUGUUUUUAUUAGACGAUAAAUCAUGAAUAGUAUUUUAUGUGUGACUAUUUUUUUAAUUUUUUCAAAAAAGUUUCAAAUAAGACGGAUAGUCAAACGUUAGACACAGAAACCGAU
rnacentral:pre_miRNA from 1 species